rnacentral:rRNA from 1 species
AUAGCCUACGGGAGGCAGCAGUGGGGAAUAUUGCACAAUGGGGGGAACCCUGAUGCAGCGACGCCGCGUGGGUGAAGGAGUAUUUCGGUAUGUAAAGCCCUAUCAGCAGGGAAGAAAAUGACGGUACCUGAAGAAGAAGCCCCGGCUAACUACGUGCCAGCAGCCGCGGUAAUACGUAGGGGGCAAGCGUUAUCCGGAUUUACUGGGUGUAAAGGGGGCGCAGACGGCGAUGCAAGCCAGGAGUGAAAGCCCGGGGCCCAACCCCGGGACUGCUCUUGGAACUGCGUGGCUAGAGUGCAGGAGGG